rnacentral:tRNA from 1 species
GGGCGGAUAGCUCAGUUGGUAGAGCGCCAGCCUUACAAGCUGGAUGUCCACGGUUCGAGCCCGUGUCCGCCCA